CAUGCAAGUCGAGCGGUAACAGAAAGUAGCUUGCUACUUUGCUGACGAGCGGCGGACGGGUGAGUAAUGCUUGGGAACAUGCCUUGAGGUGGGGGACAACAGUUGGAAACGACUGCUAAUACCGCAUAAUGUCUACGGACCAAAGGGGGCUUCGGCUCUCGCCUUUAGAUUGGCCCAAGUGGGAUUAGCUAGUUGGUGAGGUAAUGGCUCACCAAGGCAACGAUCCCUAGCUGGUUUGAGAGGAUGAUCAGCCACACUGGAACUGAGACACGGUCCAGACUCCUACGGGAGGCAGCAGUGGGGAAUAUUGCACAAUGGGCGAAAGCCUGAUGCAGCCAUGCCGCGUGUGUGAAGAAGGCCUUCGGGUUGUAAAGCACUUUCAGUCAGGAGGAAAGGGUGUGAGUUAAUACCUCACAUCUGUGACGUUACUGACAGAAGAAGCACCGGCUAACUCCGUGCCAGCAGCCGCGGUAAUACGGAGGGUGCGAGCGUUAAUCGGAAUUACUGGGCGUAAAGCGUACGCAGGCGGUUUGUUAAGCGAGAUGUGAAAGCCCCGGGCUCAACCUGGGAACUGCAUUUCGAACUGGCAAACUAGAGUGUGAUAGAGGGUGGUAGAAUUUCAGGUGUAGCGGUGAAAUGCGUAGAGAUCUGAAGGAAUACCGAUGGCGAAGGCAGCCACCUGGGUCAACACUGACGCUCAUGUACGAAAGCGUGGGGAGCAAACGGGAUUAGAUACCCCGGUAGUCCACGCCGUAAACGAUGUCUACUAGAAGCUCGGAACCUCGGUUCUGUUUUUCAAAGCUAACGCAUUAAGUAGACCGCCUGGGGAGUACGGCCGCAAGGUUAAAACUCAAAUGAAUUGACGGGGGCCCGCACAAGCGGUGGAGCAUGUGGUUUAAUUCGAUGCACGCGAAGAACCUUACCUACACUUGACAUACAGAGACUUUCUAGAGAUAGAUUGCUGCUUCAGGACUCUGAUACAGUGCUGCAUGCUGUCGUCAGCUCGUGUGUGGAAUGUGGUAAGUCCCGCACGAGCGCACCCCUAUUCUUAGUUGCUAGCAGUAAUGCUGAAAACUCUAAGGAGACUGCGCGUGAUAAACCGAGAGAAAGAGGGGGACAACACUCUC
rnacentral:rRNA from 1 species